rnacentral:tRNA from 1 species
UGAGGCUUUAGCUUAAUUAAAGUGUUUGACGUUCAUUCAAUAGAUGUAAAUUAGAAUUUUACAAGUCUUA